GUGCAGUGGAGCUUGUUGUUGGUGUGUGAAGAAACUCUCCUUAGAUCACAUGACCUGGAUGACUGAACCUACAGACAUAUUGACCUGGUUUCAUGGUCACAUGACAGACUGACUGAAGAUGAUGAUGGAGGAAGAGGAGGACAGAGCAGAGUCUGCAGGGUCCAGCUGUCCGUCUGUGAGGAGUGACGGGUCCAAAGGUUAUAAUCCAGAGUUCAGUGGUGAACCUGGAGCAACGAGAGGUCAGAGGUCACAGUCUGCAGGGUCCAGCUGUCCGUCUGUGAGGAGUGACCGGUCCAGACCUGGUGUGGAUGUAGUGGAUAAAUCCCACCAUACUGAUGCUCAGAGUUAACCACAGGGAACAAAACCAGAUGUUACCUUCAGAUUGUGACCUUUGGAGUGGACGAUGCAGAUUUCAA